GUCAGGCAUAGUGGCUCAUGCCUGUAAUCCCAGUACUCUGGAUGGCUGAGGCAGGAGGAUCGUUUGAGUCCAGGAGUUCGAGACUGCAGUGAGUAGUGAUUAUGUCACUGCACACUGCAUUCUAGCCUGAAUGACAGAGUGGGACCCUGCCUCUU
ensembl:misc_RNA Metazoa_SRP Metazoan signal recognition particle RNA